GGAUGCUGACGAGUGGCGAACGGGUGAGUAAUACAUCGGAACGUGCCCGAUCGUGGGGGAUAACGGAGCGAAAGCUUUGCUAAUACCGCAUACGAUCUACGGAUGAAAGCAGGGGACCGCAAGGCCUUGCGCGGACGGAGCGGCCGAUGGCAGAUUAGGUAGUUGGUGGGAUAAAAGCUUACCAAGCCGACGAUCUGUAGCUGGUCUGAGAGGACGACCAGCCACACUGGGACUGAGACACGGCCCAGACUCCUACGGGAGGCAGCAGUGGGGAAUUUUGGACAAUGGGCGAAAGCCUGAUCCAGCCAUGCCGCGUGCAGGAUGAAGGCCUUCGGGUUGUAAACUGCUUUUGUACGGAACGAAAAGCCUCUUUCUAAUAAAGGGAGGUCAUGACGGUACCGUAAGAAUAAGCACCGGCUAACUACGUGCCAGCAGCCGCGGUAAUACGUAGGGUGCAAGCGUUAAUCGGAAUUACUGGGCGUAAAGCGUGCGCAGGCGGUGAUGUAAGACAGAUGUGAAAUCCCCGGGCUCAACCUGGGAACUGCAUUUGUGACUGCAUCGCUGGAGUGCGGCAGAGGGGGAUGGAAUUCCGCGUGUAGCAGUGAAAUGCGUAGAUAUGCGGAGGAACACCGAUGGCGAAGGCAAUCCCCUGGGCCUGCACUGACGCUCAUGCACGAAAGCGUG
rnacentral:rRNA from 1 species